CGCUAAGUGGCCGAAUGAGGUGUAAGUCUUUUAAACUUACUAUAGACUAUUCUCUUAGCG
rnacentral:tRNA from 1 species